GCCGAAGUGGUGGAAUUGGUAGACACAAGGGACUUAAAAUCCCUUGCCCGUAAGGGCGUACGGGUUCGACCCCCGUCUUCGGCA
rnacentral:tRNA from 3 species